rnacentral:tRNA from 1 species
GUGGUGGCACAGUGGUUAAGAGCUUGGCUGUCAACCAAAAGGUUGGUAGUUCGAAUCUACCAGCCACU